ensembl:lncRNA
GGAGGAGCUGGUCCGAUUUUCAGCAGCCUAGCACAGACUGACAGCCAGACUUAUAGGCGAUAUCCAAAAUCAGAUUCUGGUGAGAUGUGGUCGAUUUCACAAAAGUCUGACACCCGGCCGUACACCGGUGUCUGACACAGACCUGGCUUUUGUGACAUCCAGCAGACGUGUACAGGCGGCUGUCAGCAUUGACAUUGGCCGGACUUUUUGUCCUCAGCCGUGACGCCUUUUCGGGUCGAAUUUAACGGUAAUCCUAAAACACUGUUCUCCUGAUCUGGAAACUUUCUUCAUCAACUGCAAACCCUUUUAUUCCCUCCGUGAGCUUCAUUCAUCCUGGUCGGUGUUUACAUGCCGCCGGCGGGCAACGUCCACAAGGCACAGCGGACAUUCGCCGACCAGAUACGGCGUGUGGAGCGGACCAACCCGGACUCCUUAGUUAUUGUCCUCCGGGACUUUAACAAAGGAAAUCUCAGCCAUGAACUUCCUAAGUACAGACAGUUUAUUAAAUAAGACCAGAGAGGAGAACACGCUGGAUCACUGUUACACCACAGUAAGCAGGGCUUAUCACGCCGUCCCUCGUGCUGCACUGGGACACUCUGACCUCGUCAAGGUCCAUCUGAUUCCUGCAUACAGGCAGAAACUAAAGCUCUGAAAACCUUAAUUUUAUUCCCACUAAGGGAAUAAAUAAAAAAAUACUAGAGCAGAGCCGCUUUGAUUUACAGAAGUAUCAGGAGUAUCACAGAAAAUUAAAACUGGUGGCCUAUUCUGAACGUCUGCCGUUUAUGAACAAGUCAAGUCUGGACUCCUGCAAGAUCAGAUACCCGACGCGAUCACUGCCCUUUUCCAGUUUGACAUUCAACAUUUUGACCACCAUUUCAAAGCACACCAGGUGCCGCUCACCAGUAGUGGAUGAAUUGAUUAAUAAUGAAAACCAUUAUUAUCAAACCGGCCGAUAAGGGCAGUGCUAUUGUGAUUUUGGACAGGGAUCAGUACUUAUGGGAAGGCUACAGGCAACUUAAUGACCUCGCAUAUACCAGAUUGACCAGCCCCAUUUAUCCCAAUACUAUCCCGCUUAUUAAUUACAUUUACAUUACAUUACAUGUCAUUUAGCUGACGCUUUUAUCCAAAGCGACUUACGAGCACUUAUCGUGCAUUCAACCAUAAGGAUACAGACUCAGAAGAACAAAGUGCAAUUUCCUCAAAUAAGCCAAUUUGCUAUAGAUAAGUGGCCAAGGCCAUGAACAGAAGUCCUUUGUUUUGAAGCGUCUAUGAGCUUGAGUUGACCGCCCUCCCUUCUCAGGACACAGCUGCAAAGAAACAUUUUGUAUCAUGCUGCUCUUUGCACAUCAGGGUCAAAUACAGGACACUUGAGACACGGCUUUAGCGCAAAACAAUGUUAUAAUAUAUUUUACCAGUACAUGCAUCUCACAAGAUGUAACACCAUCAUUUUUUCUCAACUGAAAGACUAAGAGAUUUGUAAUCAUCAGAAGCUGCCUGCAAGGUUUUUUUGGAAAAUGAUGUAAAUGCAACCUGUAGCCAAACAGUUUUAUGAUCUCCAGAGAAACUCCCUGGCUGCUCUUUAUCAUAACAUCUUGUAUGACUCAAACACAAAAGCGGACUGUGCCCAGGGGGGACCCCUGUUCCUUACAGUAUUGGGCAGAUGAAGGCACAAAUGUACAUUGAAAGUAACAUUAUUGAUCCCAUAAAGGGUAUCCAUUUCCUGAACAAACUGUUAGCAACAACUCAGAUUCUGAUAUGUGCAUUGGUGAUAUAUUCUCACCAAGUAGAAGAGCCCUUUACCAACUUAAACCAGUGCUUCAGAUAGUUUUCAGGUAAGAUCCCUUUCAAUAUUGGUAUGCUGUAAUAAAACAACCACAUGUUCCACUCGUGUGACUUUCACUGAGCGGGGGACACGGGAAACAUUACAGGCGGGUUUAAUAGAAGUUCUAAUGUCAUCAAUCUGUUCUGUUGAGCGUCCGAUAUACCAUGGUUGUUUUCAGAAUUAAACCACAACGUUGUAAUGCUUCUUGCUACACCCAGCAGCACACUGUGCAUAUAAUCUGGAACACAGCCAUCAAUGAUAUUAAAAUCAGCUAGGCAAGACAAAAUACUAGGCCCUUUCACUCCCUUAGUGGGGUUUCCAGCAAGAGCCUCUUCUACCAGAUCAUCAGUCUGGGCGGGAUUCCUCAACUCUGCUUUUUCAUAGGGAUAAGCCCUUACAUGCCCCCUGCGUUUUAACACACUUGUUCCUUUCUGCAUACAAAAAGAACACCCAAACUCUCCAUUAAAGUUCUGAAUCAUUGGCCGGGCCACUGAAUCUGCCACCAUGGUAGUGAGGAGUACUUUACUUGUGACAACUUCCCCAAUUUCACUUUGCCACGUAAGACCAUUAGAGGACAACUCCAUUCAUCGACAAAUGGUUUCAAGUGUUCAUAUUUGGUUUGUUUUGACCAAACCACAAAGCAUAAUAUGUCUUGCAUGUAGUUGUAUUGGCAGUUCAUUAACAGUACACAAAAUUGGCCACAGACUUUUUGUGUUUGAUUUGUGCACUGGCACUCCAUCACAGUUGAAAGUCAGUGAUAUGUUGUCUGGUGAUGCAAGGCGUGAUAGUUUUUUGUAUAAAUGUCCAUCGUGUAUAUCUUUGAUGUAGGCAUCCUUCUCAAAACGGUGUUUCAGGUGUUCCCCUAAUUGGUGGUCAUCAAGCAGUUUUUUAAUAUGGUAUUUUAGUGGCAAGUACAAAAAACACUGGUCUUUUUGUGCAUGCGCUUUUGAUGUGUCCUGGUCACACACUGGGCACUUGACAUUAAAGGGACCUUCCUGCAUGUUUACGUUGCAACUCUUGCACACAUAAUGCACUUCUAAUAUGUCUUUCACUGAAUCAAAUCUUUGUAGAAAAGGUACUUUGAGCCACUAACCAAUUCCCCACCAGGACCAGCUUUAAAGUUGAUAAGAUGCAUGAUGUCCUUCGAGGCUCCAUUUGUUAAUCCGUGUUUGAGUUUUAAUGCCAGCAGCAGGAGUUCCACCUGUUCCUUUGUUGGUUUCUGGUCUAAAGUUGGACUUGUGAGGUCUUCUAGAUGUUCCUCUACUGGCUCCCCAGGUGAAGAGCUAGGGCCAGGUAUGGGUUGGUUCAUCUGUGAAUUGAAAAUAUUGGAUAAGCAAUCUCAAAUUUGACUGUACAAAUGUACCAUUUCAUGUGGUUGGUAACCACCCACUGCAAAAACUCCUGCUCUAACCAAGACAUAUAAUCUUAUAUCCAGCCAAAAAGUCGUAUUGAUCUCAUUUUGAGAAUAAUAUACCAGGUAAGAGCAGAUUGUGUAAAAUAAUUUAGAUUAUUUUACGAAUAUUUUUCCUUUCUAUUCUUACUUAGUUAGUAUAUCUUAAAGUUUGUUAUUUUUUAUGUACAUCAAGCUGAAUUACUGUUAGAGACCGCAUUGGAGCAUUUUAUGAGGAUGCAUAGCUGUUAGAGACUGGUUUCAAGACUGCCCAGUAAGAACUGCUAAAAUAACAAUUCAUUAUUGUAUUUAUUGCAAAUAUUGGUGUGUCAACAACACAUUUAUUUACAGGCCGUAACAAAUCAUUUCAACAGUAUCAAGUCACCACACACCUUCCAAAACUUACAGUAUGGUUAUUCAUUUCCAGUUUUAAGUGCAAUAUUGUUAUAUUGUAUUUUAUAUAAAAAAAAAUAAAAAAAAUAGUUUUUAAAAGUCAUUGCAUAAUAUGAUGUAUAAUCAAGUAGCUUUUCAGCAUCCUGGAACUCUGUGGCCUGUGCAAGAUUAGGUACAGCAACUUAAAAUGCCAAAAGAUCUCUAUUCCAACCCAGAGUCUCGUAAAGGUGAUAUUCAAAGCAAUAAAAUAAACUGUCUAUCACAUGAAUGUUUUUUAUGAGUCCAAAAACAGGUACUGUCUCAUUUGCAUUAGUAAUUAUCAAAGACUGUUCACGGAUGUACUUGUUACCAUUGAGAAUCAGCCACUUUACAUUGACCGCAUGUUAUAUGCCAUCAAUCCCCAAUAAAUCUCUUGUCUUUUCUGUGAUGUAAUCCAUAUUUGUCACUUCAGAGACAGGACCCAAUUCCCUCUCAUGAACAAAAACUGGGUGCUCAGUGCCCAUUUCAUUUUGACAACAUUCAAAAAGCUGAUUAUGGUUGACGAGUGACUGACAGACAUUUUUAAAGUUCAAUUUAGAUUAUCACUGUUUGAAAAAAGAGGGCUUCGACUCAAAUCUCAUGUACAUAUGCCUUAUUGAAGGGCCCAGAGAAAGGAUUUGAGCAGGUAUAUGCACCAUGUAAUGUUGCUUAGGAAUUACAUUAUUCUCCAGGAAACAGUUGUUUAAACUGUUUGAGAUGCUGUUGAAUCAUUUGUUUCAGUCUCAAUACACUUUGCACCGAUAAAACAGGUGCAAAUAUUAUCUGAACUAUCUCAAUCAAGUCUAAAACAAACUGAACAUAUUCGUUCUUCUCAAUACUGUUCUUUGUGUCCCUUAAGGUACUCAGAAGAGCAGCUUGAUACUGCUGGACUCCAAAGAUAAUACUGUUGACGCUCCUCUGAAAGAAAAAGAAAUUAUAGUACGAGACACACGUUUGUCCAUCAUCCAGAACUAGCAUAACCCUACUCGCAAAUCCACAAGAUUACAUACAAAUCUAGCCCCAGAUCUCAAGUUUGACUACGUACAUUUUUGGAAUAAAAAAAGGACUGGGCAAUUAAUCAAAAAUAUAUUGAAACUGAAAUUCAGAUCCUCUAACUGACGUAAUCUUGCCCAUAUCGAUUAUUCAAAGAAAAAUUCUGUGUCUGUUUGUACGCAUUUUGACUUUAGUGAAGACGACACUAAACAAAAAGAAGUUAAAUGUAAACCUUAAGAAAAAAAACAAUUUGUUUCAGCGUCGUUCAACUCUAUUGAAUAUGAACAGUGCAUGGCACUAAAUAAUCAAUUAUUAAUAAUCGCCCCCGACUUCUUUUGAUUGACCCUUUGCUGUCCACUAGCAGAAGAAGAAAUGGAAAGAAGUAUUCCUCUUUGUGUAUUCCUUUCUCAAAAAUUGCCCAUUAUUGCUAUGACAAUGGAAUUGAUUAUAAACUGACCCAUUGAUGUAGAAUUGACAGGAAAUGUAGAAAGGGUGCAGUUUGUGAGUAGAUUUACUUCAUUUUAGAUUUUUUUUUUUUUGCAUUUAAAUUUACUUUUCAAAUGUAAUAUUAUUAAAGUUGUAAUUAAUCUGGUGUGAGUGUCACAAAGACUGUCAACAUACAAUUUAGCACUGAGGCACGGUAGGGUAAUACCUGGGACAGGUGGCAUUGUUCCCGGACAUUAAUGACAAACGCUGCUGCACGUCUGGUAAGAGCCUCAUGUGAUGUACCAGCACAUUCCUGUAAAGACAUGUUGAUAUAUAAAAUAGUUCAAACUUGCGGAAGUCUUAAAUAUUUCUGUUUGUCCUUCUAUACAUCAGUAUUUCAUUUUUCUUAACACAAACCCGUCACUUCUUGUUUGUGUUAACAGUCUGAUGCUUUUCAAAAGGGGGCCAACAGGGGACUAAAAUAUUAACAAAAUGUAAUGAAUAUGGUUUUAUUAUAAUAUUAUGCAAGAUAGUCAAAAGUGGAAUCUUACCUGAUGAUCAGUAUGUUGAAUCUGGGAAUCAUCAAGCUGAGGCUGAGGCAUUUCAUUUGGGGUGACACUUGUGCGGACUUCACUGCUGGUCCUUUGCAUCCCUCUUGUUUGAGUGGUGUUGUGUUCAAAAAUGAAGAAACGCCAGACGGACAGAGGUCAUCGCUGAUCAAAAGGUUAAAAUCAAAUGUAUUUAAUAAAGGAGAUGGCGUUGCGGUAAAAAGAACAUCUCAGCUGAGGAGCCGCUGGUCUCAGCAACCAACAGGCCCCAGGUCAGUCCUUUGACCAUCCCUAGUGCCCGUCUGUAGCCUCCACCAGCGAACUCCAGAACAAUGGUUCCUACAGGUAUUUAUAGCAAUGCUUAAAGGUGUGAAAGUCAGUGUCCACACCUCUGGGAGUGGUCUUCUGGUGAGUUCAAUGUAACUCGGAUUUCGAAUGAUCCUUGGUCAAUAUCAGUUGUUGUGCAAGUAUUACAUGCAUGCAUUCCAGUUGAUUACAUUACAUCAAAUACAAUCAUAACUACAUUGGUAUUAUUCUAGUACAGCUGCAGAUUUACAGUAGUUUUACAAUAUUGUCAUUACUUUAUGGAUUACAGUUUCAGAAUCAUGGCUGUAUUCUGGUGUACACUAUAUGCAUUUUUAUUAAUUUUAUGAACCGGGUCGUAUAUUUGUUUCUAAUAUCCUACAGUGGCACAGUCAGAAAAAAUUGGUAGAUCAAAAUGUUCUCUUCCAACCCUAGAUGGCUCAGAUGUAGCUGCUGUCAUCCCUCUGGUGGGUGGGUGCCCAGUUGCAAGAUACAGAGCAUGUGUGCAUCUGAUAUGGUAGUAGAAGGAGUUGUAUACUCUGUAUUCUUCGGUACAUCCAUCAAUUCCGCAUAUAACACGGAAAUCGGGGUUUCGACUAUGUGCUGUGUUGAUAUGGCUCAAGAGAGACUUUAAUGUUAAGGCAACAAAAACGAAGCAAAUAACACACCUCCAGCAAGCCAUUAUGUUAAAAGUUGCUAGCUAGCUAGCUAGCUAAUGAAAGCUGACAGUUAGUGUAGUUUUUUAUGAAACUGAAACAUUAACGACAAAAUCAAGAAUUGCUAAGACAGCAAGGGCAAAAAAUAACUAUACUUGCAAACUACACGUAGCACAAAGAGCGUGAUGUUUAAUCCACAAUUGCAGACAGCAAACGAGGAAAUUGUUGAUUCAUGUCGGCUUUGACGGGCACGAGCAGCCUUGCGCAUUUGGUUGGUCGAUACCAAAAGACAAGUUGGGGGGGGGUCAUUCUAUGACACCGUGUAAUUUACAUAUACACUUACGCAAUUCCGGGAUGAAAAGGCGGAUUUGAAUGACAUAUGUUUGAUUGUCAUUUUGUCAUAUUUCCAUUUAAACAGAUAAAGAUAAAAAGAUAAAGACAAAACUAUGAAGCAUGUAAGUGAUUUAAAUUUGUGGUAAAUAUGUUUGUUUAUUUAUUUUGUCUGCCGUGGUUUAUCUGUAACAUAAAAAGAAGGCAUCUAAUUAUAACCAAACCUUUUGUUUUUACCACAGAUGAGCAUUUACAACAAUCUUCACAAGAGGCUGCAGAAUGUGAAGUCCCCACAAAAGAGGCAGGGGCCCACUCCAGAGAGGGGCCAUUCAAAGAAAAGGAGUCUCAUUGACUUCUCAUCGAGUGACAGAGAAGAAAAUGAUGCAGACCCAAGUGGUGCAUCAACAAUUAUUUUGCAUCAAACAUCUGGGAGCAGUUCUGAUGAUGGCAACAGGUCACGUAAGUUGGAAUUGUGUAGCAUGAAGACUAAGAAUUGUCUAUCAGAAUACAGACACUGAUCAUUUUAGUUUAAUUCUGAUUCUGUUUUGAUAUAUUUAGCUGUUACUGAUGAUUUUUUAUUUGAUUGCAUCCAUUUGGCUCUAAAAAGCAGGAAGGGCAUAUGUUGAUGUAUAACAUGCACAAUAUUGCUUUUUGUCUGGUGGAGAUUUACAGUAAGGUGGUUUUAUCACUAUAUUUUCCAAUUUCUUAUGAUGCAAGUCUGACCUGCUGAUGUUGAUUUCAUUUCUAAGAACUAUAAUUAACAGCACACACAUUGUUCCUUUUCUUUAUUGGAGAAAUGUAUUGUAAUAAAUAAUUACUUAACUAUUUUCCUUCAAAAUUGCAUUAGUAUAUAGGUCAUUCAGCAUCGCUAAUUUUGUUAAUUGUUACACUGAACCUAUAUUAUCAUUCAGAUUGACAUGUUUGAUACCCAUUACUGAUUUUUGUUCUCCAUUUUAGCUGAAAAAGACAGUCUGAUCAUACAGGCCAGACCUUAUAAAACUCUGCCGGAGAUGUUCAAGAAAACAAAACCAAACAAAGAUGCGGUCCACCAAAUCCUUGACCUCGAGUUUGAAGCAAGAAGAGCCUUCAUCGACAGUGAUGCCAUGAAAGAAGAGGACAGGCCAACAAAGAUCCUCGACGCCUACCCUUGUUUUAAGGAUCUUCAUCACGUGAUGAGUGAGCUGCAACGAAUCCUGGAUAAGGACAACAUCACAUACAUAGAUGAAGUAAAGAAGAGAUGGGAAGACUUCUGUGCCAAGGUGCAAUUUUACGGUGUUUCAAAGAAAGUGAUGAAGCCGCCCAUGAACCUGGAUGCAGUGGAAUAUGCCAUAGCUCUAUUCAAGGCACUUCCUGCCCUCUUUCCUUCACCAACUGCCCCACCGAAGAAGUUGGGAAAGCCAGUGAGGCAUUGCUUCAUGUCCUUCAGCCAACAGAAGAUCCCACCAUCUACCUUCAGAAGAGACCACACUCUGCACUUGUUUUGCUCUUUGAUGGGUCCCGCUGUCUUGUCACAUUUGGAACCACUCCCAUCACCACAUUUGCCAAGGAAGACCUUUGUGAAGGUUUGCUUUAUCUGAUGGCUUACUACUACACUCUGCAUCUCACCUAUCCAAAGUGUGUGGCAACCCUCCUCUCAGUCAUUCAGACAGAAAUAUUAGACAUGACGACCUCAUACAAAAAAGCCAUGACAGAAUGGAAGGAUUUUAUUGGGAUGUAGAGGUGUUCACUGUGUUAAACUACUAUACUAGAAUAACUGGCACCACCAGUUUCACUGUCGCGGUACUCUAAAUCGAUAGUAGUGUGCAUUGGAGUUUGUCAAGAGAAAAUUCUUUCUUCCUUUUUGUUCAAGUAUUCUCUGAUUGCCUUGUUCUUUGUUCCUUUAAUCAUCAAAGCAUAUUUUGUGCUGCAAAUGUUGGAUCUAAAAAGUUAAUAGAGGCCAAUGACGGUUAACUAGGUUUAUAAACAUUACAGGAGGUGGAAUGAACAGAAAAUUUGAAACUUAAUACUUUUUUCUGUAUCUGAAUGUCAGGUAAUCAGAUUCAGUGACGAUGACACAUAACCAUAAUGACCUCAAAGUUGUAUCACAUGUUUUCUGUUGCAAUGCUUCCGUAAUUGAGAAUAUGUAAUAUUUUGAAAAGCAACAAGUGUGUUAAAGGGCACAAAAUCUAAAUAAAUUGUUGUUGACAAUGAUCGUAUUCAUGCUUUGUCUCAUUUUAAGCCGCACAAGCUAAUAAUGAACAGUCUUGAAUUAAGUGAAAUUGUCUUGUAUAGUGGUUCUGCUUUUAAGAACCUUUCACUAAAAUUAAGAAAGGAAAAAAACUGAAAGAAGAAUGGACAUCUUAUUUUGAGUUUAUUUGACUUAAUACAGUGCUUGAAAUUAGUGUUUUACCACUCAUUACAAGACAUGUAUCACCUUUCUGAUGCCUAGAACAUUUUUCUUAUCUCAAGAAAUCUUACUGUGUAUUACUAAGUGUAAUAAUCUUACUGCACUGGCAGAUAAAUUAACUUGUUUUAAGUCUUUACCUUCUCAAAUUAAGUAAUUUUUACUUGCAUUUAGAUGGUUCAUUUUUGCAGUGUGCAUUUGAAGUCCGGCUCAAAUGUAUUUGAUUAUAUUUUUAACAGUCCUUUCCAUUGAUUUUUUUUGGUCAUUAGAUCAUAAAUUAUUCUUUUUUUUUUAUUCUGUGCCCCCUUUUGUCUUCAUCUGGCAAGACACAAUGAGACACGUUCUGUGAUUUUGUAUGUGGCCAGCUGAGAGAGAUGCUGCAUUUGCACACGAAUCAAAACUUCUUUUUUGUUGUUUUCUAACAUGAUAAAAAUAUGGGUAUUGCUGCAAUAUGGAACGGAUAAAGUAAUAUGUUAUUUCCAAUUUGUGCUCUACUUUAAGCAACAUCCGGUAGAAGUUUGGGUUAUGGAAUUAUCUUAUGAUUAUUUACAGUAAACUAGUGUGCAUGCACAAACAAAACAAAAAACGCCUAACUUGAAUAUUUUAGCCAUUUUUAGCAACUUACUGUGUCGUCAGAAGCAGUAGACACCGGGUUGUCCUCUUGGGUGAGAUACCUAAAAUUAAAAUCCUUGAUCAAGAAAUAUGUAGGCCUAAUGGACGUGUGCAUGUGUUCUACUUACUGAAUUGUAGAAGAACCUCACCCAUAUCUUCAGAAAUGUCCCUAACAAAAAUGUUGUGGUAAUGUUAAAACACUGAUUGGUAAAUUCCAUUCAUGUGGUGAAACCUUUAAGACUGUACAUUAUAACUGUAGGUUAUACAGUGGACAUGGUAAGAUCAUUUUUACCUUUAUACAAACAUACUUAACAUAGAUUAUGGGAAACUAGAAAAUGCAUUUCCUGCAGAAAAUGCGUGGGAAUGCUGAGUAGCUAAAGCUAAACUGGUUGAAUAGCUUAAAGCCAUGAGAAGAAGCUUAAGUAGUGGGAGUAGUUGAAAAAGUGGAAAUCGGUUUAAUAAGUUUGAAUUUAAUUAAAAAGUUAUAUACACUGCAUAGAACGAAAAAGCAUCAAUUUAGCUGAGAUGAGAUGUGAAAUAUAUUAGGUGAAAAGAAUGGGGCUGAACAAGAAGGAGAGGAAAGAGAGGAGAGGAAUAGAGAAGAAAGAAGAAGAGAAAGAAAGAGAGGGAGACAGGAGGGAGGGAUACAGUUAGAGGGAGACCGUAAAGCAUACUGGCAAGCAUGUGUCCACUCUGGUCCGAUCGGCCGCUACAGCGUCGCAUGCGAAUUACAUCAUCACCCGCGCUGGGCCGCUUGUGGAUGACGUCCUUCACAUGCAGUUCAAGAAUUUUUUGCCUCGACUGAACAAAACGAGAAGCUGGUGGAAUGACGAAAAGGCCGCCAACCCUGGCCGGUUCACCGAGCCAAAAUUAUUGACGUGGCAAAAGUGAUGUUACGAGAUGUGCCGACGCUUCGAAGCGUGUGUCGAGUAAUGGAGGGGGCGUUUCCUCGAAGCGCGUAUUGAGGCUCGCUUCCAAAAAUGAUGACGUCCGAAGCCCGGCUGUACCACGUUACUGCUUCAGGAAGUGGUUCAGAUUUUGCCGGGAGGUUUGACAGCAAAUGUCACGGAAAUAGCUUCGAGGAAAACGCUUCGAGGAAACGCCCCCUCCAUGUUAUGUCCAGCCCUGAGUAUUAAGUUAAGUUGGCUGGAUAUUUAUAAUUUAUUCUUCGGUUAUGUGUUGUUAUAGUUUACUCACCUCUCCUCUCGUUUCAGACUCCUCCCCCCCCCCCCUCAGGUGUGUGGGUUCCACCUGGGUGAUUGUCAGCUCCUCCCUGAUUGUUUGCACCUGGCCCUCAUCACCCGGUGUAUUUAGUCUGUGGGUUCCUGUCCUCUGUUGCCAGUUCAUCUUUGAUACACCAUGUUCCUAGCGUUCCAGCAUUCAUUCCUGAUAGCCUUCCUGUUACCGACCCCUGCCUGGUUAACGAGUUACGUCUCUGCCUUUUCCCUGCCGGAUACCUUGCCUAGUGAUCGACUGCCUGCCCGUGUACCGACCUUGGACCAGAAUUUUUACAAACUCUGCACCUGCCAGCCUCCUGUUGGGUCAUUAUACCCGUGUUUGUACUGCCAUCCGACAGUAAAGUUGGUUAACUGCACCUUCUUGUGUCUCCGAGUCGUGGAAUUGGAUCCACA